UACGUAGGGUGCGAGCGUUGUCCGGAAUUAUUGGGCGUAAAGGGCUCGUAGGCGGUUUGUCGCGUCGGGAGUGAAAACUCAGGGCUUAACCCUGAGCCUGCUCCCGAUACGGGCAGACUAGAGGUAUGCAGGGGAGAACGGAAUUCCUGGUGUAGCGGUGAAAUGCGCAGAUAUCAGGAGGAACACCGGUGGCGAAGGCGGUUCUCUGGGAAUGACCUGACGCUGAGGAGCGAAAGUGUGGGGAGCGAACAGG
rnacentral:rRNA from 1 species